ACGAACGCUGGCGGCGUGCCUAAUACAUGCAAGUAGAACGCUGAAGGAGGAGCUUGCUUCUCUGGAUGAGUUGCGAACGGGUGAGUAACGCGUAGGUAACCUGCCUGGUAGCGGGGGGUAACUAUUGGAAACGAUAGCUAAUACCGCAUAAUAGCAGUUGUUGCAUGACAACUGUUUGAAAGGUGCAAUUGCACCACUACCAGAUGGACCUGCGUUGUAUUAGCUAGUUGGUGGGGUAACGGCUCACCAAGGCGACGAUACAUAGCCGACCUGAGAGGGUGAUCGGCCACACUGGGACUGAGACACGGCCCAGACUCCUACGGGAGGCAGCAGUAGGGAAUCUUCGGCAAUGGACGGAAGUCUGGCCGAGCAACGCCGCGUGAGUGAAGAAGGUUUUCGGAUCGUAAAGCUCUGUUGUAAGAGAAGAACGAGUGUGAGAGUGGAAAGUUCACACUGUGACGGUAUCUUACCAGAAAGGGACGGCUAACUACGUG
rnacentral:rRNA from 1 species